UGCGACGUGGCCGAGCAGGCCCCGGCAGCAAAUCCUGCAGGAAGGCUGGGCAAGCCGAGAGGAGGAUUUUUCCUGGCAGAAAAAGUGCCUAAGGGGAAAAAAACCCACCUGGCAAGUCCCCGAAGCCUCACAAAGCCGCUCGGGAGCGGCAGAGGGACGAGGGACCGCGGGAGCCAGCACCGCGCCGCUAUCAAACGCGCUGACGGGUGACACGCUGCGGGAUUAAUACUUUAUAAAUGUCACCGGCCUCCUGACAGGCUCCCGGAUAAUCCUGUUCUUCGGCCUCUUGGAGCAAGCCGGCGUGGCCCUCGGCCCGAACCGCCGGGAAGGUGUCACUUGCUUGCGGCAGCGACGGUCCCUCCCUGGGGUGCUGCAAGGGCAAGUCGGUGCGAGGGGGGUUGGAAAGUCACGGUGCCCCCCGAGCGUUGCCGCCUCUCCCGGCACCCCCAGAAACCCGCACCUCUCCCCGGCACAGCCCUCGCCGGGCCGGAGGCCGUUUCCAGACCCUUCGCCAGGCAGAGCAGCUAGCACCAGGUCACCUGGACGCUUUAUUGGCUUAAUCAGUUUAUUCUCCUGGUGCUGGAAGACGACUGGUCUGUAAUUCCCCAGUUCAUUCCCUGGGUCUCCCUAAACCGGGGCCGUCCAGGUUGCAGCCGUGUCGAAUGAGACCGGCACGGCCGCGGGUUUAACCCGGGCAGACCCGGAGGUGAUGGAGUUAGUGCCCCUUCACCGAUGGGGCCGAGCACCUUCUCCUCCCCGGCCUCUGAGGACGAGUCUGUGGAGGAGAGCACGGACAGGUAGGAAUGUAAAAGCAGGGGCAGAGAAAUGAGUGGAAAUGGAGAAGUUUUAUCAGAAAUGGAGCUAAACCACAGGCACCUUUAAGCACCUUUAGUUGUAAUGAGGGUUGAAUGACCCGCAGGAGCGUGGUGGCUGCUCUUUCCGGGCUGGUGAGGAGCUGAUUUAUGCCCUUUCCUCCAGGCACAAGCCCCUAGGUUGGUUGCCUCUCCUUUGCUUUCAUCCUACUGUGCAUUUACACUCUCCCCUUACCCCUUGAUUAAAUCCGGCCACCCGUAAGCACCCUCAAGACGUUCCCCAAAUACUCCAGACUGCACAGGAGCACUGGAGAUCAAGAGAAGAAACACAAGAUACUGAAGCUGGUAGCAGCAAUUUGAGAGGCAGUUGCUGAGACGGGGAUGCCAAGCAGGUUGCCGGCUCCAGCCCCUGCAGCGGGCGCUCGGCAGGGAGUGACUCGGGUCACCUUCAACCUCUGCUUGCUCCAAAGUGUGAAGGAGGAAGGGUCACUCGUCCAUGGAAAAUGACCUGGAAGACAAGCAAGGUCUUUAAAAGCACUUGUGUAUGGAGAGGUCACGUGGCUGCAAGCUGUGUUUGUGCCUAAAUAUCUGCAGAGUUUUGCUGUACAAAAAGCUCUUCACACCAGUUCAAGGGACAUGGUUGGCAGCAAAAUGGUUUCUCACCUGCACCCCUGACCUUGAUUGCUGCUCCCGAGGCUGCAGCUACUGGCUGCAAAAGAGACUUGUUCCGAUCGGGCACCAUCCAUCCUUGGGACGUCUCCGGAGGGAGCUCGCUCUCGUCCCUGCUUCGGUUGGGGUGGAGGGUGCCUGUAGCGAAGCCGGGGUGAAAUGCCUUUAAGUGUGAGGAGAGAAACAUACUGCUGGGAGAGGUGAAACCGGAACAUUUGGGUUGCCCUUUCCAUCGAGGCAUGUCCUCUCUGCUGUACCCGUGCUGGCCUGGAGCGGUGGCUUCGUGGAAGAGGUGAAUCCAGCACUGCCUUUUCGGUGCUGCAGCCCAAUCCUGACCCUGAACGAGGCCCCACCAUCCCGUCCUGGUGCGGCCCUGCAGCCUCCCGAAAGCCUCCAACUCACGUGGUGACUUGUCUUCCUCUCCAGGAGCUGCUCCUUGGAGGUGGACGUGAACUGCACUGCGACGGAGCAGCUCUGGACACGGAGCUCCUCAGAUCUUUGUGGGAAGCUGGACCCAGGGUUUUCUUGUGGGUCCGUCACGUCUCCAAACUGGUUUCUGAUUGAAAGAGAGGGAUUGCCGUGGAGCUGCAUCCCAUCUCCAGCAGCGACCAGUAACGAUGCUCCAGAGGAAGGAAAGAUUCAGCCGUGCCGGGCAGCGUCUAAGGUAAAGUCCCUUUGAGCUGAGGCACCAGGCCAGCUGGUGCCCCGAGACGAGCGACUCCCCUCUCCCGCCUUGCUCAGCGUGCUGAGGCUGGAAAGGCCGCGGGAGGUGGUGCCCGUCCGACACGGGCAGGCGAACACACAGGUGCUGUUUUCAUUGGGGUAUUUCCCUUUCAGUCUUGCUGCCAGGUCCCUGUGGACCACUGCAGCACGGGACAGAUACUGUCUACCCCGUUGCCCCUGGAAGGACAGCACCUGCUGAUGGUCUGAGAAAAUUCUCCACGUUUUCUUCUCCUUUAUUUUCUUGUUUUCUAUUUUAAAGCUCCAGCUACGGUGCCUGCUCCGUGGCCUCCGUGAUGCGGAGGGGCACUAGCUCACGUGCAGGUCAUCCACCGGGGACGGCCAUAGGACCUUCUGGGCAAAUGCACUCAGAAAUUACAAGUGGAAAGGAACUGCCUAGGAUACCCAGUCCCCUGGCCUCUAAAAACCGAGGGCUCUUUCCGCCUUGCCUGUCCUCAGCGACAGACCCCAGAGCCAGACCGUAACCAGCAGCGCCGACAGACCGAGCGCCGGCUUGGAGCAGCUCUUGCUCUUCGGGGACAGCUGGGACGGACACCCCACCUGGUCAGUGCAGUCAGCAGUUGGGAUCCAACCACGCACAGCAAAGAUCUUUAUUGAAUUACCUGCCACUACAUCAAUAAAUCCCACGAGGCCGAGCAAUCGAUGCGAACCUCGAUGGGCUGCGAGGUGAAAGGACAGGCAGACAUCCGACCACGACGGAAGUGCUGACAGAAACACCGCCGAGCGCCGAGGCCUCGUUAGCCUCUCCCGUCAGCGUGAGCCAACAUAUAUUUCGUGGUGAUUCACACGCUUGUUUUUCCACUGUGAAAUAUAGUCCCCAGUAGAGGGAUAAGAUUAAGCUGGAGAAA